UUUUUAUUCUCCAGAUGCUCUAAGAACUUCAUCCUUAACCCCCUCAAACGAAGAGACCCAGAAAAAAAUCCACAGGGAUUGCUUGGCCGACUACAAGGCUAAGGUUGAAAGUACAAGAUCAAUCUGCGGGCCUGCUGAAGAAAUGACUGCCUGUUACAAGUCUAAAGGAGAAGCUGAAGGUGUCUUCCACGGUCUCAUCUCACAGUUACACUCCACUCUGAAGAUUGUCGUACCCUUGGUCACGAGAGUGCUCGAAAAAAGCUUACCCUUAGUAUGUAAGGCGUCAGAUAGCAGGCGCUAGACGUACCCAGAACAGUCAGAACCGCUGCUCCCCUCGUAUUCUAACUAACUGCUAGUAGUUUGAGAAAUAAUCGCCUUGCUCGUUUUUUUUUUUUUUUUAUUUGACCCUAUUUUUGACUUGCGUGACUAGUGUCGUCUGACGUGACAGCCAUGUGGUUUACAUGACCAUCAGUGUUCGCGGUUUGCGUGAAUAAUAUUCAGCCUGCGUGACAUACGUCUGAAUUGCGUGACCUUGACGACGUGACAACGUAACUUGCGUAACGAGUCUUUUAUUUGUUUGACAGACCUUUUUGUCCAGUUCCCUUUGUUAACACUAUUUAAAAAAUUUCCCAUACUUUUCCGUGCUAUGUACUCUUAUACACCACGAUAUUCGUCACCCCAUGAUCAAAAUGUUUUGGAGUCACGAGGCUCGUAGCGUAACUUUAGCUUCAAAACCCUGCAGUCUUCGUUACUUUAAGUGUUGGAAAAGUGUCUUUUUCGCAUUCAUGUGAACCUGCAAGGAUUGUGUGAAUGACGAAUCCCAUGGGAUGUCCUCUGAUUUACCAUAGCUAACAACCAAUCAGAAAGCGAGAUUACGUGCAAGUGUUGUAGAAUACACUCUUUCUUAAACCUUUUUUAUAAGAACGUCCAGCCUGAGAAUUCACCAAAUUUUAAAAACAUGCCAAGGCUUCUUUUGUUUCUUUUUAGUCCUGAUGCGUUUUAAAAUGCAAAAUCAAAUUGAACAUCAUUAAGAACAUAUUUAGCCGUAAAAAUUUCCCAAAAUGAGAACGACCCAGCCUCAAUUGAAAAUUAGACGUUCUUAUAAAAAAAGAAUCCAACUUAAGAGACACAACUCACUUUUUGUCAAAAACCUCUUUUAAAAAAUAGUUUCUCCAAGAAUAAUCCUGCCCAUGUAUCUUCACAGCUAAUGACGUCACGCAAAUUGAAAACAGGGUCUUUGGGCUGUUAAUAUUGUGAACUGUAUUGGCAAAACAUAAAAAAUGAUUACUACCUUAGAGAUAAACGGCCGCGAGUUCUUUAACUUAAAUGGCUCUCGAUUGUUUACCAAGAGAUAAAUGUUUGAGUGUGAGAUCGAUUGUAUAACUGGGGCAUUUAUUAGGUAUAGUGUGCAUCAAAUAAAUAUGAGCAUUGAAA